rnacentral:rRNA from 1 species
UAUUUUUGGUUGGCUGUCAGGAACUAUACAGUGAAACUGCGAAUGGCUCAUUAAAUCAGUUAUCGUUUAUUUGAUAGUACUUUACUACUUGGAUAACCGUGGUAAUUCUAGAGCUAAUACAUGCUAAAAAUCCCGACCUCCGGAAGGGAUGUAUUUAUUAGAUAAAAAACCAAUGCCUUCGGGCUCCUUGGUGAUUCAUGAUAACUUAACGAAUCGCAUGGCCUUGCGCCGGCGAUGGUUCAUUCAAAUUUCUGCCCUAUCAACUUUCGAUGGUAGGAUAGUGGCCUACCAUGGUUUCAACGGGUAACGGGGAAUUAGGGUUCGAUUCCGGAGAGGGAGCCUGAGAAACGGCUACCACAUCCAAGGAAGGCAGCAGGCGCGCAAAUUACCCAAUCCCAAUUCGGGGAGGUAGUGACAAUAAAUACUGAUACAGGGCUCUUUUGGGUCUUGUAAUUGGAAUGAGUACAAUUUAAAUCCCUUAACGAGGAACAAUUGGAGGGCAAGUCUGGUCCCAGCAGCCAA